UACGUAGGGUGCGAGCGUUGUCCGGAAUUACUGGGCGUAAAGGGCGUGUAGGCGGCCGAUUAAGUCUGGAGUGAAAGUCCUGCUUUCAAGGUGGGAAUUGCUUCGGAUACUGGUUGGCUUGAGUGCAGGAGAGGUUAUCGGAAUUCCCGGUGUAGCGGUGAAAUGCGUAGAGAUCGGGAGGAACACCAGUGGCGAAGGCGACUCUCUGGUCUGUAACUGACGCUGAGGCUCGAAAGCGUGGGGAGCAAACAGGAUUAGAUACCCUGGUAGU
rnacentral:rRNA from 1 species